AAAGUUUUUGAGAUAAAAAAUCUGUUCUUAUCAGUUUAAUAUCUGAUACGUCCCCUAUCUGGGGACCAUAUAUUAAAUGGAUUUUUGGAACAGGGAGAUGGAAGAAGAGCUUGCUCUGUCCACUCCACGCAUCGACCUGGUAUUGCAGUACCUCCAGGACCGGUGCACCUCUC
rnacentral:snRNA from 1 species